rnacentral:rRNA from 1 species
AGAUUGAACGCUGGCGGCAUGCCUAACACAUGCAAGUCGAACGGCAGCGCGGGUAGCAAUACCUGGCGGCGAGUGGCGGACGGGUGAGGAAUACAUAGGAAUCUACCCUGUCGUGGGGGAUAACGUAGGGAAACUUACGCUAAUACCGCAUACGACCGAGAGGUGAAAGCGGCGGACCGCAAGGCGUCGCGCGGCUGGAUGAGCCUAUGUCCGAUUAGCUAGGUUGGCGGGUAAGAGCCCACCAAGGCGACGAUCGGUAGCUGGUCUGAGAGGAUGAUCAGCCACACUGGACUGAGACACGGCCCAGACU